rnacentral:lncRNA from 10 species
UGGCGCUCCGUGGCUGCAAUGCCCUGGCGCCGCCGCCUUCGCUCUGGAUCUCAAUCCCCUUCCACUGGCGUGAGGGUCACGCCUGAGCCUGGCGCGGUGAUGGCUGCCGGUAGAAGAGGGGUCCUCUUUUUCUUUUUCUUUUUCUUUUCUUUCUUUCUUUCUUUCUUUUUUUUGAGACGGAGUUUCGCUCUUGUUGCCCAGGCUGGAGUGCAAUGGUGCGAUCUCAGCUCCCCGCAACCUCCGCCUCCCGGGUUCAAGCGAUUCCCCUGCCUCAGCCUCCCUAGUAGCUGGGAUUACAGGCAUGCGCCACCAAGUCUGACUAAUUUUGUAUAUUAUUUUAUUUUUUAGUACAGACGGGGUUUCUCCAUGUUGGUCAGGCUGGUCUCGAACUCCCAACCUCAGGUGAUCCGCCCGCCUCGGCCUCCCAAAGUGCUGGGAUUAAAGGCGUGAGCCACCACGCCCGGCCAAGGGGUCCUCUUUUUCACCGAGGCAAAGACACGGAGCCUCUUGAGUAAGUCACUCAAGGAGAUAGCGCAUGUGAAAGAGGGGAGUGGAAUCUAGGCCUCCCGCCUCUGGCUGAAUCCAUUCCCGGGAUCCCACCCAGCCCUUCACUCUCUCGGGAAUUUCCCAGAGGGGGAUUCGGUGACCCCGAUUGACCCAGUGUGUGCAUUCACAUCUUGUGUUAGCAGGGAGGCGGGCAGGGGUGUGGGAAUGCUGACUGCCGCUGUCUGCGUGUCCCCAGUAAUCAGCACACCAUUCUCACCCAUGCUCCCUCCCUACAGCCUAAAGGCUUGGAUCAACAGGGCUGCCCCUGGCACAUUUGUACAGCCUAUUUCCCAGAGAGGCAGAGUGAAGGAGCUGGCAUGUGGGCACCAGUUCACAACCUCCCACACCACACAAAAGACAAGCCCAGGUAAUAUCUACUGUUGAAAUAAAGCCUCGACCCCUGGCCUUGGCCUACAAACCCUAGCUGGCUGCCCCCGCUCUGAUUUCAUCUGGCCUCUUGCUCUCCCUUACCCACCACACUGUGCUGCCUUGGCCCUCUCUCUGCUCCUUGAACAAGCCAAGUGAAUGCCCCCUUCCCUCUACUGGAAGGUUCCUCUCCAGGAUGUUAGAGGGUAGUUCCUCAUCACUGCUCCUCUCAGAUUAAAUAUCAGCUCCUGGAGUAGCCAUCCCUGACCUCCAAUCUAGAGCAGCCCUCCCUCACCCCAGUCAUGACUCUAAC